UCACCUUUAGCUUAAUUGGUUAGAGUACGAAUCUUCGAAAUUCGGCGGUGAGAGUUCGAAUCUCUCAGGGUGUU